AAAGGCUGAGAAAUAGUGGACUUAUCAGCAGUGAUGCAUCUAAUUCUGCAAAUUACAAGAUUAUUCCCAGAGGCAAUGCUUUCAGGGAAGGCAUCAUUGAAGUUCUAGGAAGGGUGCUUGUGGCAAUGAAACAACCUGUCUCUGGAACACACUGUUCCUUUUACUUCAUAGGGUCUCAGCAAGGAUGGCUCAAGUAGGAAACACAUGGAUCCCCAUCCUCUUUAGGUGCCCACCUCUGUAGGGCUAGAGCAGGAGUGAACAAGCACAGCUGGAGAAGGCAAAAUCCAUUGGAAACCUUACUCUAAGAAAGAGGAGCCUUGUAUGUAAACAGGGCAAAAGGUUGUGGCUUUAUUAGUGUUUAUUUAGAAUCAAGUAUGAACGUUGUAUAUUGUAUUUCUGUAUUAUGCACCUGGUUUUCUACUCUGAGACGUGAGAAGCUUAAUUUACAAAAACUUUUUUCUCACAGUAUCGACCAAGGCAUAGCCAGCAUCUGGUAAGGAACUGGGUGUUAAGUAUUUGAUAGCAUGAUAGGGGAAAAGGUACUGUAGGAAGGAAACCAGAGUAGGUUGAAGAUCUGCAUUAUUUCUUUGCAAAGGUUUUUACUGAUAUCACUCAGCAGGGUUUGUUAGUGCAUAAGACAGUACCUCUCCUAAAUCUACUAAAAAGUGUUUUGUUACCCUUCCAUUGGUUUGAUGUGCUAUAAACCAGAUUUAACAUCAAACUAAGUGUUUGCAGAGAAGUACACAUCAGUGGCUGUAAUAAAAGUAACUGGGACAGGACUACUUAGCACGAAGUUUAAGGUGUUAUCCACUUUGAGACUGCAGUAAGGGAGGAAGUGCUUAGUGCAAACUGCAAGGGUGCACUCUUGCGGCUAGGAGGUGCCGUACAGGGAAUAGAUGGAGUUGAAAUAGCAUUGUUUGCUAGGACAUUGAAUGCUUUUGCACUCAAACAGAAGAGAGAUCAGCUCUACCAGAAAACUUUCAUGUCAGCAUCAAUGUAUUGUUCCAGUUUCCAGUUGCUGAAGCUUUGGUUUGCUCUGAUGCAAGGUGUUUGUACUCCUAUUUCCCUGAACAAAAGAGCACAUGCUGUUGGGUUUUUGCUUCUCUUGUUAAAUGUGCAUAGCUGCAUCCUGACAGCUGUUUCUCUGUAUGAUUGUAGGAGGGGAGCUGUCGCAGGGCAAAAAUGAGUGGAGGCAGCCAGCUGUCUCCCUGAGGCACGCUGCUUGCUUUAGUAAGCUUUGAAAACCAUGAAACUCUGUCUGAGACAGGGUCCUUCUGCUAUUCUGAGACUGAAAAAUAUUUAGCAUGAAUCUCCCAUUUCACUUCUGCCUUUUAGGGGCCCCUAUGCUAUAAAUAUGUGCUGCAAGUUUUCUUGUGGAGGAAGACAAGGCUAUUUGCAGACAGUAUGUAAAAACUUUUGAGACAGUGUGUAAUUAGGUUGCUGGCAGGGUCUUUCAAACAUUUCUUACCAUGUUUUGCAAAAGAAACAGUAGUCAGCUGACAGCUGUCAGUAAGUAAUGUAAAAAGUUAGUAUGGAAUAAAUAUGGAGAAUAUUGCAGCAAUCUACCAGCAGUUGGCUUUGAUUACACCUGUAACAGAAGAAUCCCAGGUACCAAAGCCAGCUUCUGAUUUUUCAAGCUUUUUUUCUAGAAGGAAAAGCAGUGCCAUUGGAGCUUGAUUAAUUAACUGGAAAGAGUGCCUUGGAAGGUCACAAUUUCACAGUGAUGUUAAGUAGAAUUAUUAUGAAGUUCUUUGUUUUGAAUAUUUAUCAUAUUAGCAAAUGAAGUAGGGACGUAGGUUUGAUCAAGAUAAAUCUGAACAGUUUCCAGGAUUCCGUGUUGAAAAUAGCUGGGAAAAAGUGAAAUAAAUUGAAUAUUAAACAAGGGAAGAAGUAAUGGAAAAUUAAUGACUGCUCCUCAAAACUGAAUUUUUCCACUGUGAAAAUGUAGUAUUUUAAUCAAAUGAAAUAGAUUUAGAACAUGAACAUGAACAUAUUUUCCUCUUACUGUGUUAAAUUGUAACCAUUGCCAGUGGCUCUGCAAUGGAAGCUGUGUGUCAGACUGCCAUAUGCUGCAUUCACACGAUGAAAUUCUUGGCAGAUAAAGUCCUCAUUGACUGUAAAAAGGGAAAUAUUACUCCCCUUAUUAAUAAAGUGAGAAAGGAAGACUUGGGAAACUACAGACUGCUGGAGAGCUACCGAUUGGUGAGCCUCACCUUUGUACCUGGGAAGACUGUAGAACAAAUCCUCCUGGAGGAUAUGUUAAGGUUAGUGUGGCUUAACCAAGGGCAGAUUGUGUGUCACCAAUCUGGUGCUCUUCUGUGAUAGAGGUGGACAAAGGAACUGAUGCUGUCUACCUGCAAGGUCUUUGAUAUGGUCCCACACCGUAUCCUUACCUGUAAAGUGGAGAAAUUAAGUUUUUAUGAUGUCCAUAUAGAGCUGGACCAUGGAACCCUAUGGCUCUAUGUCCGUGUAGAGGCUAGUGAUGAGCGGUGAUGUCCCUUGGGCAUCUGUUUUGGAACUGAUGUUCUUUUAUGUCUGCAUUAAUGUCCUACACAGUGGGAUCAAGUGUACCCUCAGCAGUUUGCUGAUGACACCAAGCCAAGUAGUGCAGUUGAUACAAUAGAAGGAAGGGAUUUCAUCCUGAGGAAUCUGGACAUGCCUGAAAAGUGAGUCCAUGUGAACUUCAUCAGGCUCAACAAGGCCAAGCGCAAAGUGUUGCUGUUUGGUCGGGGUAAUUCCAGAUACACAUACAGCCUGAGAGAAGAACUCACUGAGAGCAGCCCUGGGGAGAAGGACUUGGUGAUUCUGGCAGAUCAAAGACUUAACAUGAGCCAGCAGUGUGCUCUUGAAGCCUGAAAGUAACCUGGGUUGCAUCAACAGGGGAGUGUCCAGCAGGACAAGGGAGAUGAUUGUCUCCCUCUACGGUGCCCUUUUAGGACCCCAUCUGAAGUACUGCAUCCAGAUCUGGGGUCCCCAGCUCAAGAAAGAUGUAGAGCUUUUGGAACAGGUCCAGAGGAGGGACAUGAAGAUGGUCAGAGGCCUGAAGCACCCCUCCUAUAAAGACAGGCUGAGGCAGCUAGGCUUCUUCAGUCUGGAGAAGGCUCCAGGGAGACCUCAUUGGGGCUUUCCACUACUUGGAGGAAGCUUGUAAACAGGAAGGAAAUCAAGUUUUUACACAGGUGAUAGAUUAAGGAGGAACAGUUUUAACCAAAAAGAGAGGAGAUUUAGCUUAAAUAGGGAAAAAUAUUCACUGGGAGGGUGUUGAGGUGCUGAAACAAUCUGCUCAGAAAAGCUGCAGAUGCCCCAUUCCUGGAGGUGUUCAAGGCCAGGUUGAAUGGGGCCCUGGGCAACCUCAUCUAGUGCCUGAUUUAGUGGUUGGCAACCCUUUCUGCGGCAGUGGGAUGUUGAAACUAGAUAAUCUUUGAGUCCCUUCCAACCCAAAGAGGUUCUGUGGUGCAGCACAGCAUAGCAGUUGUAAAAAAUUAAUUCCUUAGCCCACAAAAGCUGGAGCUGAAGCUAAUACUGGAAAGCAGGUGAAAGCUGUAUGAACCACAGAAAGAAUAAAUAUUUAUUUUGUAAUACUUUGAACAACAAAAUAGAUGUGAUAAAAAUUAAUAGUUUUUGUCUACAAAUAAUACUCUUUGCUUGAACUUUAUAGUGCAAUUUGAAGUGUAUUAUCUGAAAUAACACAUCAGCUUGGUAGGAGAAAACAACCUUUGCGUUCUUUGUAAGGAACUGUCUUUGAAGAUCCAAGCUUUCUUCUGGAGGAAUACAGACCCAUAAUAGCUGUGAUUACAUGAUGAGAAUGCUCCAUGUUUACCUCGUUGUCACUGACUUGUGCUGAGGUAUCUUCCAAAAAAGCAUGCUGCUUGCAUUGACCUUCUGGAAAACAGCACUGAUGUCUUAAUAUUUUAAUAUUUUUAAGAAUCUUUCCACUCCUCUCCAAAUAGGUUUUUGGAUGUUUUGUCGUGUUUGGUUUUUUGUUGUUUUUUUGUGUGUGUGUGUUCAUAUUUUAUAGACUUCCAAUGCAAAUCUGAUCUGAGGAGUAAAAAUAACCUCUUAAGUCAGCUAGCUCAAUCCGCCACGAGCCCCUGUCUGCCACUGAGGUGGGCAUCUCUGCUUUCAAGGCCAGUUUCAGCCCUCUGAGAGUCACUGGCAUGACUGAGAGGCAGGAUCCCACUGUGGCAGACCGAGCUGCGGUCAGCAGGCCCAGGUGAUGAUUUUCUUUGAAAUCCGUUCCUCUCACGCCAUCUCCUGGUCAGCUCUUCGAGGUUAACUUAGAUCUGAAAUCCUUCUGCUAACCCUUCUCUGGUCCGUUCCCCGCAGGAAGAUGUCCUUGUUUGUUGAGAAUAUCACCAUCCUCUUUCCAUGUUGUUCCUGUUGCUUUCCUCUGGUGCGUGAUGAACAGCAGACACGUUGCUGAUGGCACUUGCUUGUGAAUAGACGUGUUGCAGAAAGUUGCCUGUAUUGAGCAUGGUCUGCUCACAGCUGUACACGUCACACCAUGAGCUCCAUCCUCAUUUAGAUACACAGCAGUUCUGCAUAAGCAGAAGUUACCUUGAUGAGCACAAGGAGUCAGUGAUCUAAUCAAUGCGCCCAUGAAUCAUUUAUGAAUAGAGAGGAAAUUGUUUCUUCAACAGACUUUGGAAUUGCCAGAGACAGUGAUUGUCUGAGAAGUCUGGAUAUAAGGAAAAAGUCUUUUACAGAGAGGGUGGUGAGGUGCUGGAACAGGUUGCCCAGAGAUGUGGUGGAUGCCCUGUCCCUUCAAGGCGAGGCUGGAUCAGGCCCUGAGCAAUCUGCUCUAGCUAUGGAUGUCACUGUUCAUUGCAUAGGAGUUGGACUAAAUGACCUUUAAAGGUUCCUCCCAACUCCAAGGAUUCUGAGAUUCUAUGAACUUGAACUCUUAUCUUCUGCUCCAGGAAGAGUCUGUCUUCUGUAGCUAGGAAGGAAGAGUGAAAAUAAUGACUAUAUUUCACAUUUAAAGAAGCUAGAGGAGUUCUACACAUUCCCCCACCCCUCAGACUGUUUUAUGUGGGUUAUAAUCAUACUCUCUUUAUUUUUAUCUUGUGUGGUGUGUGGGGGAAAAAAAAAACAACAGGAACAACUGGUAGUUCUUGGUAGCUCCUAUAGUGCUCUAUUGCUUGGUAUGUGGCCCUCUGUAUCUGACUCGCAGAGGAGACUGAGGAGUUGCAGUUUGGGCUGUGAAGCUGUCAUGCAAUUCUAUGGGCACCAGGUAGGAGUGACGGCCAUUUAGAGUGCUCAUCUGUAGCUGUUAGAUAAGCUGUAUUUCCAGAAGGUGCCAAAUACAUGAAAUCAAAGGGUUGGCUUCAGAAAGUCUGAAGUCAGUCUGAAAUGUAAACCUUUGUCCUCAUAGAAGAUUAACAAAGCUUUUAAAAAGCUUUGUAGUUUUUGAGUUUUUGCUUCUAGCCAACAGCAGAAGCUCCAACCCCUGAGAAAUAAACGUGUGUGGGCUUCUCUCCCAUGCCAUUCUUCCCCUUAAGCAGGGCAGUGAAAGGCUGACUUGAGAUUCGGUUCUUCUGGAUGUGCAGUAAUGGCAUUUAGAGAUAUUCUGUGUGACUAAUCAAUCUCAAAAACAACAGGAGCCUGAUGACUGGAGCUAUGGCUGCUCCCCUUGAAGAACAAUGCAGCUCUCAGCUGUGCUAAGAGCUGCACAUCUGUUGACACAUGAAGCAGUGGGCAAUGCCACUGAACAAGUAAGGAUAUAAGAGACCCAGGGCACACUGAGUGAUAGCCAUCAGAUCAACAUGACUGAGACUGGUCGUGGCAGUGCUGCACUGGAUUAAGAGAUUACUGUAUUUCACUGCUUUUCUUCCAUCUCUCUUGGUAAGUUGUGCUCUGCCAAAAUAACCACACGUGUAGGCACUCCCUAACCUAGUUCUGUCAAAAUGAUGCAGGUUAGGUGCUGCUGAUGGGUUUUUUUUGUUUCUUCUUAAUAGGGAAUAAGGAGCCUCAAGGCCCGGUUCCCUCUUUUGGCCCUUUCUCAACUUCUAUUAGAAUAACAGCAUGUGACAUCCAAAUUAUACCCUGUUGAAGUGUGUGUGAUCAGCUCUUGAUUGGAAUGCCUCUGUAAGUAAAAGAAAUGGAACAAAAAGCAUGAGAUCUUAUAAGCAAACAGUCCCUCAGAAAUCUGCCAGUUCCUGGAAGAGUUAACUCAUUUAAAAACCUUUUAGUGAGAGAUAUCAGUGACGUGGAUGUGUUUGCAGCAGCUGUGGAUGUUGCAGUAACAAUGAGUGGAGGCAGUUUAUCAGCACAUCAGUUAUUUUCCUGGUAUAAAAAGGAGCUUUAAUUGGACGACCAAUGAUGGUUUUUGAUCUAAUGAUGAAGCUAUCUGGCCAUCACAAAAUUAUCUUUCAAUGAGCUCAUCUGUUUUGCAAGGAAGAAACUCAUAAUCUCAUAGAAAGGAAAAUGUGCUGCCUAUUUUUAGUCACUGAUUUUAUUUGUAAGGAGUAUCAUGACUUCACAAGCGCAGCGGCACCAAUCUCCCUGGUAAAGCAUUUAUCUUAAUCUAAAGGGAGCUGUUUGCAGCAAAGCCAGCUCCAUGCUUAAGAGGGCCAUUGAACAGAUUUGCAGUGCUGCCUCUCAUUUGCCUGUAAAAGCACCCGAUGGUUCAGCCUGUCCUGAAUGCACAGCAGCCCAAGGGCCAGGCCACUGCGUGCAGCAGAGACAAAUGGAAAAUGAGUUAAUCAGAAAGCAGAGGUGGCUAGUGAGCCAGAUCUAUGGAACCAGACCUGCUUGUUAGUUAAUUCCAGUCAUUCAAAGCCUCAGGUGCGGGUUUGAUGCGACACACAUCUUCAGCCAGACGUGGAACCAACCUUGUAGGAUGCAUGCAUCCGGGGGAUGGCACCAGGGCCACGAGGGCUCUGCAGGAAGGGAGCAUGGGUGCACAGCAUCUGCACUGCUGCUCUACCUGGCUCUGGGCUUCCUGCCUUGCAGCUGCAGCAUCUACUGUCAGCUAGCUCAAGGGCUGCAGCUGUCUGGGAGAGGAUAAUUCAGCCUUGAGUCAUGCAGGAACAGAAAGAGGAGCAGUGCUCCCUUUUCUCACUCUUUGCUUGCUUUCAGCCUGUGCUACUGUAACCUCCCCUUUUGGGCCCUGGGCUCGGUGACUAAAAAGAUAAGCAGAUUGGUCCAGGAGGAUAAGCUAUGACUGUGUCAGCUGGAAAGGCCAGAUGUAAUAGCGUUCCUUUAAAUCAUAAUCCUUCAUGUAGUAUCACACUUGGUUGUCAUAGAAACUGUGACAUCACUGAGAUUUACAGCUCUGAUCCAGCAGAACGGUGGAGCAUUUGCUUUUAAUAUAAAGGAUGUGCUUAAAUCCCAGUUAUUUUUAUGGCACUGCUUGUCUGUCUAGGAAAGAAAAAAAAAGCCUACACUUGAUUUUUUUUUUUUUUUCCCUAGAUGGGAGUGAUGUGACACAGUAAAACAUCCUGGUUGCUUUAGUUAAACCCAAUCAGUGUUUGUGUGUCGCAGUCAUCAAAAUUACAAAUACAGGGCGGAUCUAGAGAUAGUGCAAGCAUGAGAUUUCCUAAGUGAAUACGUUGCAAAUUGAAUAUUUGAUUAGAUCUCCUCACCAUCUCUGCUUCUGCAACCUGAAAAAGUGUUAGGACAAGCUGGGUUGUUUUCAUAACUACCUCCAACACUUAAGAUGGAAAUUUUAGUUUUCUUGACCGUAUGGAGAAAAGAGAUUUUUUAAAAGAAUCUAGAAAAUGUAGAAGUUUGGUCAUAAUCUCAGUCCAACACAAGCAGCCGUACUGCCAAGUUAAGUAACUAUUUGGACCUACCUGCUCACAUGGUAUUUACAUUUUUCUUUUCAAACCUGGUUUCUGGGUUAAGUGUUUAAGAAUGGCUGUUCUCAUUUUUGAGGUAUUUUUUAGCACGCUAACCAGCUGAGAAGUAUGAACGCAUUCCCCUGCCGCCAGGGAAGCAAACAAAUUGGUGCAAAGGCGAGGCGUUGUUCUGCCAGUGUUGGGCAGGCAGAAAUGGUGGUAAUAACUUCACAAUUAAUGCAGUGCGUUUGUGACACUUUGUGACAGCACAGAAACAAGAUCCUAAAGCUUCUAUGGGAAAAAGCCAGCUGGAUCACAACUCGCUUCCAAUUCAGAGAAUUCUUGUAGCUUGUAGGCAGGUCUUUCUGCUUGCUACGAUCCACCAGCUGGUAGAUCACCGGUCCUAAAACCUCCGUACAAAAAGCUGAAUGCGUGUGAAUGGAAAAAAAAGACUUGAAAACACUACCAGCUUUUCUCCGUGCCUGGAGGGGAAGCCGUACAUCCUCCUAUGACUGUGCGAAGAGAAAUCACUAAUAGCCUCCUCCUGAAGAUAUCAAUGCUAAAUAAACCCGUCAUGGAAUCGCAGGGGUUGGAAGGGAACUCAAGAGGUCAUUGAGUCGAACCCCCCUGCUAAAGCAGCUCCCUACAGAUUGGCAUCCAGGUUUGCAAAUGCUUUUUGCUGGCUAAGCAACACACUCUGAGGAGGAACCUAUUGGACUCAGCUGUCAAAACCACAGGGAUGGACUCAGAAUUGGGACUGGAAACUACUUCAGCAGUGUGAGACCA